CAGUAGCCACGGUAAUACGGAGGAUCCAAGCGUUAUCCGGAAUCAUUGGGUUUAAAGGGUCCGUAGGCGGUCUUGUAAGUCAGUGGUGAAAGCCCAUCGCUCAACGGUGGAACGGCCAUUGAUACUGCAGGACUUGAAUUAUUGGGAAGUAACUAGAAUAUGUAGUGUAGCGGUGAAAUGCUUAGAGAUUACAUGGAAUACCAAUUGCGAAGGCAGGUUACUAUCAAUUGAUUGACGCUGAUGGACGAAAGCGUGGGUAGCGAACAGGAUUAGAUACCCCAGUAGUCCCUGUCUCUUAUAU
rnacentral:rRNA from 1 species